rnacentral:pre_miRNA from 1 species
UAAUCUGAAAUUUGUAUGGAGUUGUAACGUUUGCCUACGUUUGCCGUUAGGGGCGCUUUUCCAACUGCAAACAAAUUUGAGUUA